rnacentral:lncRNA from 1 species
AAAUUAUUACCCUCCCUUCCAAAAAAAUGGAAAUAUCACAUACUGUUGGCCCAUGCUCGAAGGUCGUCUCUAUUAUUUUUUUCAGAACUCUUUUACGAGUGGACAGAUAUCGACCUCCCAUGCGCAGGGAUCAUGACGACAGGAAAUUAGAAGUUAAUACCAGAUUUUUCUGUCCUACUAUGUUAUUUGUUAGUAACAAGAAUUAUGAACAACGACAAAUUAAGUAAACGUAACGUCAACAGCUAAAACUGCAUAGUACCUAGUGCGUCGUUACCUGCUUUAUCUGAAAUAUCAACGCCAACGGUGAACUCUGUGUUGGAUUCUACAUGGUUGGCCAGUCCAACGAAAUGUAUUAGCUAUAGCAUACAUCAUCAGUCUGGAAUCAAAGGUCCAUAAAGUCUGCGUGAGCUUCAACAUAGCCGACGUUAGUUUUAGUCUAGAACGCCUUUCAGUAGUAUCUAUCUUCCUCGCCUACAUCCCAGUGCGAUUUAUCUAUCAGCAAAGGCAAUGCCGUCUCCUUCUCGUGAGAAUAACAAGACCAUCGGCCAGCAACAAUUUAUGUGUCCUCACGUAAAUGAUUAGAAAUUUCUUGGUGAAAAAUUACAUCUCGUGAGUCCUCCAAAACAUCUCCAGAAACUAGUUGCUCAGGGGAUCCUUGGCGUUGAUGAAAUUCCGGGGCAAGAGGUUUUGAGAAGCCAUUCCACGGUAAGCAUUUUUCUCGCGAAUCAAAAUCAAACCAAGAGGUAGAGCCAGUUUCAAUAUCGCUGGCAUAACCAUCUUCAUUCACAAUGUUGCCCAAAUGUCAACGCUGAUCUUAAGGAGAAUACCAUACGUUGUUGUCUUCAUUCAUUAACGGCAAAAGCGCCUCUUCCAGAAUUGCAAUUUUAUUUCUUCUCCAGAAAAGAUACCAGAAGGAGCCAAUUCUGAUAGCCUCCCUGAAGGAAGAUUCUUAUGAUAAUAUGAUACAAUUGAUGGUGUACGUAAUCCCCUGAAACAAAAUAUAGUGCCAGGAUCCUCCGUCUCUCUGUUUCGCCACGCACCCGAAUAUAAAUUCGAUUCUUCACUCUCCUUGUCAAAGUCCCAACCUAGCAAGAGGGAAUGCGGUGAUCUUGCACAUGAACUUUCAGUCGGAAAACAUUCUCCAUCCCAUUCUUUAAGCGGACGAGAAUCAUACACAUUUCUUCCACCAGAACAUGGAGGCACUCUUCCCCAAUUUCCAUAGUCAAGCUCCCUAAUCUCAUAAUCCAAAUAGGGUAUAUGAGAACGACAUGUUG